rnacentral:rRNA from 1 species
UGAGCAAUCUGCCCUUCUCAUCGGAAUAACCAUUGGAAACGAUGGCUAAUGCCGAAUAUGACCUCGGAUCACAUGUUCUGAGGUGGAAAGCUCCGGCGGAGAAGGAUGAGCUCGCGGCCUAUCAGCUUGUUGGUGAGGUAAUGGCUCACCAAGGCAUUGACGGGUAGCCGGCCUGAGAGGGUGACCGGCCACACUGGGACUGAGACACCGGCACGA